GACGAACCGUGCGAACGUUGUUCGGAAUCACUGGGCUUAAAGGGCGCGUAGGCGGGCUAUCAAGUCCGGGGUGAAAUCCUCCAGCUUAACUGGAGAACGGCCUCGGAUACUGAUGGCCUCGAGGGGGAUAGGGGCACACGGAACUGUGGGUGGAGCGGUGAAAUGCGUUGAUAUCCGAUAGGAACUCCGGUGGCGAAAGCGGUGUGCUGGAUCCCGUUC
rnacentral:rRNA from 1 species